UGGAAUACAAUUGUAGAAUUUACACAAUGAUUUUGCUAUUGCGAUAUUCUAUUCCAAAGAUUCUAAAAUCAUCCAAACUAAUUAAUCGAUUUUCUGUAUAUUAUUUUCUAUAACAAAAAUACAAGAUAUUUUUUGUAAAAUACAUCAUACUAUUUCAGCUUUUGACAAUUUGAAAAGAAAAAAACAAACAUCCAAAUAAACUAUACCACC
rnacentral:lncRNA from 1 species